AUACACAGGCAGGCAAAUGCACAGUAACCUUCCUGUCUGCCUAAGCCAAUACGGAAGCAAUAAAGCAGGAAGAUUUCCUGAAGUACAGCUAGUCCUAAGAGUGUGCUGUUGUGUGGCUGGAAAUGAUGGCUAUAUAUAUUUUUUUUUUAUGAUGGAUAACAACGGCACUAAACUUUAAAAAUGAACGUUAAUGGUAAUUGUACAUCUGCAGCAUGUUUGAGGCCUGCAUUGGUUUUUCACCCUGCCACCCUGCCCUUUAUGUCAGAGGAUAAGAUAAACAGCAGAAACUAUAGUAAGGGUAUAUAGACAGCUAAGAACUAAGGAUGGAACAAAUUGAUUUUGUAAGCACUGGAAUCAAUACGCAAAGUGUGUUUUUUUAAUUAUUAUUAUUGUUUUGUUCCAAACAGACUCUAACUCCCAAGAAUAAAAUAAAAUAGGUUUACUGUUUCCAGAUGAAAACUGAUGCUUGUGUAACCAGUUAUGUGUUUGUUGUUUGGAAUACUGCAUAAUAUUCAUAUAGAAACUGCUGAAAAGUAGAAAAGUAAUGGCUAGAGAUAGAAACAGAAGAAUAAUAUACAUUUAUUUGUUAAAAAACAUAUGAACACUAAUUACUUUUAUAACGUAUCUUUUAAAUUUACACUAACUUUAUAAUAACUUUAUGGUAUGGUUGGGCACAUGGUGGCUUAGUGAUUAGCAUGUUCGCUUUACACCUCCAGGGUUGGGGGUUUGAGUCUCGCCACGGUCCUGUGUGUCCAGUGUUUGCAUGUGCUGUGGGGGUUUCCUCCUGGUACUCUGGUUUCCUCCCCCGCAUGCAUGGUAGGCUGAUUGGUAUGGCCAAAGUGUCUGUAGUGUAUGAGUGGGUGUGUGAAUGUGUGUGUGAGUGUGCCCUGUGUUUGAUUGGCACCCCAUCCAGACUGUCCCCCGCCUUGUGCCACAUGCCCCCUGGGAUAGGCUCCAGGUUCCCUGUCACCCUGUAGGAUAAACGGUAUAGAAGAUGGAUGGAUGGAUGUUUCUAAAGUCCUUGCACAAUUGGCUGUAUGUGCACAUGUAUGCAGGCACAGUGUCACAGGAAGGAACUGAGAUAGAAAAAAGCUACCAAUUUUCAAAAACUGUAGAAUGCACACUAAUUGUCAGUGGUGAGUGAGGACUACACUCUGGUGUAUUCCCUUUGAGUAUUCAUUGUGAUGUUUGCUGUUCUGCCUUCCUACACUGUGCUGGUCCUACAUGAGCUUGCAAAAAUAGCUUCCUUCUAGACUGAGACAGAAUGAACUAUGUACCAUCCAGAAGCCUCAGGAUCUGUAAGGCACCUUGACGUGGAGAAACCGGAACGAGAGAUGCUGGUAUGUUUAAUCAGGUCAGACAGAAUCCCUUCAGAUCCAUGCUUCUGUCCUCCUAGGUGGCCGAGUAAAAAUAGACCUGGGUCAGCUGGUUUUAUUCUCCGUUUUCUGCUGCUGUAAUGUUGUGUGUUGUGAUACAAGGUGCUGUUUUUGUGGAAUGAAUGGUUGACUUGAAAUUGAUGGUUUUUAUAUACAUGUUCUUCUAAUUUUACCAAAAGCUAUUUACUCUGCUGGUGGGAAGUUAGACCUAACAGUGUUUUCUAGACCUUACAUUCUCAGAGAGAAAACAUGCACUGCUUUGGAAACACAAGGUUAGGAAGAAGGUGAUCAGUGUAAAUACAGGUCCAGGUGACAACUGCAUGACAACUGCAUGUCAUUCAGUGUGCAGCUCACCUGAGAUACUGUUACAACCGUGGACAUAAUACGGAUUUAUCUCUGCCGAAGAAUGCCAUCUGGCACACUCCGUUCUCUCUCUUUCUCUCCCGCUCUCUCUCUCUCUCUCUCUCUCUCUCUCUCUCUCUCUCUCUCUCACACACACACACACACACACACACACACACACACAGAGCACAUAACGAAUGCUUUGGGUUAUGGCUGUAGAUGCAUUUCUCAUCAUAUUUAUACAGAGAGAAAAUGAGAUAGGUAAAGGACAAACACAGAGUGAGAGAAAUUGUGAUAUAUGAUAAACAUUUUAAAGUAGAAUCCCACAAAAUCUUUUCAUUAAAACGCUAACAGCUUAGGUUAUAUUUUCCGCUGCUUAAAAAAAAAGCAAACAGGAGAUGUGCAAUAUACAAUCUAUAUGCACUGUACAAUACUUUACUAUAAUCUAACACAUGCACUGACAGUCCUCUGUUGCUGUUUCUAUAAAUGUAGCUGUCAAAGUUUUUACUUUACUUCUUAAUUUCAGUUCAGUUCCAUCCCAAAGAGUGGUGGGUGAUAUGGUAAAUGAAUGAUAAUAUUUAGCUACUGGCAUACUACUCACGCUGU